UACGUAGGGGGCAAGCGUUGUCCGGAUUUAUUGGGCGUAAAGCGCGUGUAGGCGGUCCGGUAAGUCAGCUGUGAAAGUCAAGGGCUCAACCCUUGAAUGCCGGUUGAUACUGUCGGGCUAGAGUCCGGAAAGAGGCGAGUGGAAUUCCCGGUGUAGCGGUGAAAAUGCGCAGAUAUCGGGAGGAACACCCAAUGGCGAAGGCAAGCUCGCUGGGACGGUACUG
rnacentral:rRNA from 1 species